CGUUUAUGCAAUAAGCCAAAAUUUCGAUAGAAACUUGCAUUGACACUGAUGAUCAUAAUAGCUGAGAUACAAAUUAAUCAAACAACGGAAUGAGAAAUAACCACGUAAUAGUGGUACACAAAAUGAAUUUAAUAAAUCCGGCUCUAAUUAUCGUUACCAUUAUUGUCGUUAUUGCCGUUGUUGCAUUGCUACUGUUAUUAUUAUUAUUGAUCCAAUUUUCUGCAUCACGGUUUCUCCGUAAUUACACGUUCCACAGUUUCAGUUUCAUAGGUAAAUUCGAUUCUAUAGAUAUCGUGCUGCCCUCUAUCUGGGGAUUUCGCGCCGAGCGACCGCUUGGAACGUGACUUCCGGAAAACGAGACCACUUUCACGGUUUGGUUGACGAAUGGAUCGCGAAAAAACACAGGAAACUGGCGAACUAUCCGUCCCAACGAAUUUCCAAAACUCGCGUCGACUUUGAUUUGUUUUUCUACAGGAUGUUCAAGAAAUAAUGUAUCUUCUAUGAAAAUAGCGACAAAAAAAAACGUGUAGUUUAGUACGGAUCUAUAUUUUUCACUCAACUAAGGUUUAUUGGAACGUUGUUCAAAAAUAAAACAGAUACGAAAUAUGAGAAAAUACGAGUAUGCGAUAGAGAAGAAGGGAAAAUAUAUUAGUAGCGAUUGAACACGUAAUGCUGUUCUAUAAUUUUAUAUCAGCUGUUUUACAAGCGAACGUAUCUUCCUAAUUUGAAUAAAAAUUUGCUUUUUCCCAUGGAUUAUGAAUUCUCAAUCGCACGUAUCUUUAAAUAAAUACCACUGAUACUAAUACACUAAUGAUAUACAUCUGGUGCAGGUUAUGAAUUUUGAAUUGUACGUAUGGGUUUAAUAAAGCACUAGUACUAAUACGUCGAUAGUUUUGUCCUGCCAUUUUUAAGAAAAUUUUGAUAUUUUACACAAAUUAUGAAUUGCAAUUUGAUAAUAAUAAAAUACUGAUGCUAAUACACUAACGAUUGCUCCCUCGAAUAAAGAUACCUAUAAUAAACCUGUAAUAAACAACUGGCAUACGAUAUAGGUUAUGAAUUAUAAAUUCUAUACACAAAUCGAUCUGAAUGCGUUUUUUUAGCGUUUUUUUCAUCGUUGGAAUUCAUAAAUAACACAAUGACAGACAUGCACAUUGCCUCUUGCCGUUAUUGACGCUUAUGAAUCGAUUACAUUUUUGAGGUUAUGUUGCAACCUCGCUAAACGAAAUGUCGUUUCCAAUGGCAACGUGCGAGCCACAGAGUAAUCACAGAGAGGAGAGGGAAAAUCAUUUCGUUUUAUCGUCCAACUUCUUAACGCCCCCGAAAAAAAAAAAGAAAAAAGAAAAAAAGAAAUUUGAAUUAUUCAUUCGCGCGCUUAACGGUAUAACACAAAACGAUAAAUCAAAUGUUGAACUAUGCGGUGAACUAUGACAAAACAACUGUUGGACAGCUGAUAUGCUAAUAAAAAUCGUCAUAAAUCAACAUUAGAAUCGGCGCCGUCGGUUAUUUCAAUCGAACGACACGAUUCGCGUGUCAGAAUUUCUAGAAUAACGAUACGUUUUUCGCCCCGGGAUGAUUAAUUACGUACGAUCGAUGUACUCGUAUUCUAUAGUGAAAAAAAAGAAACUAGGAGGAGGGGAGUGGUGGGGAGGGGAGAAGCGAUGUUAAUACUGGGUAUGAAAUUCUCGAAACGAAUCGAUUUUAUUAACGUUUCGUCACUAAGUUUCCUUUUUAUCGGCGCUGACGUUUCGAUGAUAAUCCCCACUGACAAUGACUAAUGCGCCAUUGCGAGAGAUAAACUGUCGUGGAUCAUCCACUCAUAAAAUAUCGAAACCGGAAGUAGCCGUUGGUAAAGUUACCGAAGCACGACAGUUGGGUCUUUACGCACGAAUUAUCGAGCCGAUCAACUUGAUUAGAUUAAAUAUCGAUUAGAUUAAAUAUUGACGAGAUAAGGUUGCAUUUUAUUGGAAAUUUACGUCUUCUUAAGAAAUAAUCAGGAUAUGAGAAUAAAAAGUUCAAUUGCUUGGCGCGGUUGAUCGAUGCAAUAGAGCUGACCUACGUCAUAGAAAUUCGAAGCGUUUUAUUCAGUGCAAAUUAUAGAGCGGAACGUAUUGUUGAAAAUAAAAAUACCGGAAAUACAAGUUCGUUUGAAAAAUGUUACAACGCCGAGUGAACUUCGCUUGUGAAUUUUCUACUAGCAGCUUUGUUACAAAUAUGCAGAAUUACCAGCGACAUGGGCACAUUCUCAACCCGCAAAUUCGAAAAAUUAGGAAACUUUGGCGAUACGUGGAGGAUAUGUGGUUUCAGAUGGAAGAUAGAGAAGAGGCGCAUAGCCUCAUAUUCAAUUACCUAUGGCUGUCUGUUCUAUGGCGUGGUUAUUAAAACGGAUAAAUCUUGUUUGUCGUUGCUUCUUCACCCGAUUGUAAUUUUCCACGCCGAAACAUCGAAUUAAAUCGCUGUCGUAUGGAUCCGCACGGUUGUUCGCGUGCGUUCGUCCAAUAAAUUAGAAACAAUUGAGCGGAUUAGAAUUUCGGUUGGUUCACGCGACCCUGCCAUGUCAUCGAGCUAGUUGAUCCUACAGAUAAGCACAGGUAAAUAAUGCGCUAUUAUUUUCACGCCUAACCUUUCACGCUUAAACAGAUUGGCCUAUAAACGAUAGGAAAUUGUUCUCAGCUUUGCCACACGUUCCGAAGUAAAAGUAUUUUCGUUGUAUGCUGUGGCUGAUGAAGAUAUUGCGACGCGUAACGCAGAAAAUUGCUACGAACGUAUUACGCGCACUACGCGUGACUUUUCUCAUAUUUUGCAGCAUCGAGACACGAGUAUCGCGGUUGUAACAGUAAAAUUUGAAACUAGUUUGAAAAUGCGUAUAAAAGCUGCAAGAUGUUUGUUGCAAACGUACGUUAAGCGAAAAAUUAGUAUACAGCAUGAAUAGUAAUAUUGGUUUAGCAACUAAGUGAUUGUUGAUUUUGUCAAUAGAUGGCAUUGGCAAAAUCCGCCAUUACUUAGUUGCCAACCCAAUAUAUUGAAUAUACAAUUGAUGCUGAACACGAUACCACUAAAUAUUACGGUUUAUUAAUUUAACGAAGGAUUAAUUGUUGAGUGUUUAAAUAUUUUGAUGAUCUUGGCCAAGUACGUGUUUUGUAAUCGACACUGUAUAGUAAAUGCAAGGACUGAGCUGCUUCGAGGAUUUGCUUGUAUUGAAAUUUGAUACUGUUGAAACGAUAUGGAAACUUUGCGCGACAUUCAAGUCGAUGUAUAUGGAAUACCGUUUUUUGAAAUUUAAAUUUGAAUUUUAUCUCGUAUUGAAUGCCACUGAAUCGCGUUAAUAAAGAAGGAAUUUACUAUAAAACACGUAUACCAGAAUGUAGAAUUUACAAUGAAACUAUAGAACCUGGUUAGUGUGUGUUCAUUUAUAAUUUGAAUAUUCCUGUAAUUUUCUCGUGUGAACUGAUAUUUGGGAAAAUUGGCGUGAAGCUUCCUAUAAAACCUGAUUUAACGCCUGAAGAAGUUUCCUAUUCAACGUAAUAAUUUUACAAUGCAUAAAUUAUACCAAACGGAUUUACGAAUGAAGAAAGUACAACAGCUGAACUACAAAGUUUUUUCAAUUCUAACUAUUCUAAAAAUUCUCACAAAUGCGGAGUACGAUGAAGUAAAAUAGUCGACGAAACAUAGAAAAGAAAUUCACAUCGAUUAGCAUAAUAAAAAAAAAACGUUACAAAACUUUCAAAUCUAAUCGAAUAAUAUUUGUGAUAAAAUGGAAACAUAUAUUAUUACAAUUUGAACAAAUAUGAUCCGUGUAGUUAAUUAUGUUUGAAAUUAAUUGCCUAAGGGACACGGUGAUAUACGUGAAAGGGACAGUGUGGGUGAAUGAAAAAGCUGAAAUUUGUCGAGAUAUAGUACAUAACAUAUAUUAUAGAUGUAAGAUAUAAUAUAUAUGAAGCUUCUAUAUUAUUCGAUAUCAAGGUUUCUCUACAUAGUUGUGUGUUUUGUAUUUAGUAAAUAUUCCAUUAUUUGUUUAUUCCAACCACGUGCGUCUAGUUCUGUUAGUUCUAUGCUAUUUGCUUUCACGCAAUAUUGUAUGUACAUUAUGUACAAGAAAAUAAAUUAAACG